rnacentral:rRNA from 1 species
UGGGGAAUUUUGGACAAUGGGCGAAAGCCUGAUCCAGCAAUGCCGCGUGUGAAGAAGGCCUUCGGGUUGUAAAGCACUUUUGUCCGGAAAGAAAUCCUCUGGGUUAAUACCUCGGGGGGAUGACGGUACCGGAAGAAUAAGCACUGGCUAACUACGUGCCAGCAGCCGCGGUAAUACGUAGGGUGCAAGCGUUAAUCGGAAUUACUGGGCGUAAAGCGUGCGCAGGCGGUUUUGUAAGACGGAUGUGAAAUCCCCGGGCUUAACCUGGGAACUGCAUUCGUGACUGCAAGGCUAGAGUAUGGCAGAGGGGGGUAGAAUUCCACGUGUAGCAGUGAAAUGCGUAGAGAUGUGGAGGAAUACCGAUGGCGAAGGCAGCCCCCUGGGCCAAUACUGACGCUCAUGCACGAAGGCGUGGGGAGCAAACAGGAUUAGAUACCCUGGUAGUCCACGCCCUAAACGAUGUCAACUAGUUGUUGGGGGAUUCAUUUCCUUAGUAACGUAGCUAACGCGUGAAGUUGGACCGCCUGGGGAGUACGGUCGCAAGAUUAAAACUC